rnacentral:rRNA from 1 species
AUGUGGGAUGGAGUCAUAGAGGUUUUGGGCAUUGUUGAGGAUGAUCUGCGUGUUCCAUGUAGGGCAGGAGGUUUGGUUCAUCAAAUGGAGACUUUUAGCUUUGUGUUCAUCUUGAAGAUGAUGCUACAAAUCCUUCACAUGACAAAUGAUUUGUCUCUUCUAUUGCAAAAGAAGGAUCAAAAUGUUGUUCAGGCAAUGUCAUUGGUUACGGAUGUGAGAACACGUUUGAUCAACUGGAGAAAUAAUGGUUGGGAGCCACUCUUGGAAGAUGUCAAAGCCUUUUGCACCAAAAAUGACAUUCCGAUACCAAAUAUGGAUGACAUCUUUACAAAGUUGGGAAAAUCAAGAAAAGGUGGACGAAACAAUGUCACGGCUGAUCAUUUUUUCCGCGUGGACACCUUCUACGCUGCCAUAGACUCCAUCACCACAGAGUUUGAUCAUAGUUUUAAUGAUGUAUCUUUUGAGCUGCUCCAGAACUUCUCUUGUCUUGACCCAAGAAACUCCUUUUCUAGGUUCAAUGUGAAUAAGCUUGCUAGACUCACAGAGAUUUAUCAUGAGGAUUUCUCAGAUUACGAACGUGAACAUAUAGUUGAUAACCUAGAGCUAUUCAUUAUCCAUAUGAGAAGAAUUGAAGACUUUCGAGCUUGUCAUGAUAUUGCAAGUCUAGCUAAAAAGAUGGUUGAACUUGAAAGGCAUGUCUUGUUUCCUACUAUUUAUCGCCUCAUUGAGUUGGCAUUGCUACUACCGGUAGCGACGGCAACAGUUGAAAGAGCCUUCUCAUCAAUGAAAAUCAUCAAGACUGAGUUGCGCAGCAGGAUGUCUGAUGGCUGGCUUAAUGACUUGAUGGUGUGUUACAUUGAGCGAGAGAUCUUCAAAAGUAUUGAUCUUGGUAAAAUUAAGGAAUAUUUUCAUAAGGAGGGUAGGGCACUGCCAUUACCUGGGUCUUCCUGCCAUUAA